GUGCUCACUUCGGCAGCACAUAUACUAAAAUUGGGAUGAUACAGAGAAGAUUAGCAUGGCCCCUGCACAAGGAUGACACGAAAAUUUGUGAAGCGGUCCAUGUUACA
ensembl:snRNA U6 U6 spliceosomal RNA